AUUGAACGCUGGCGGCGUGCCUAAUACAUGCAAGUCGAACGCUUUUUCUUUCACCGGAGCUUGCUCCACCGAAAGAAAAAGAGUGGCGAACGGGUGAGUAACACGUGGGUAACCUGCCCAUCAGAAGGGGAUAACACUUGGAAACAGGUGCUAAUACCGUAUAACACUAUUUUCCGCAUGGAAGAAAGUUGAAAGGCGCUUUUGCGUCACUGAUGGAUGGACCCGCGGUGCAUUAGCUAGUUGGUGAGGUAACGGCUCACCAAGGCAACGAUGCAGAGCCGACCUGAGAGGGUGAUCGGCCACACUGGGACUGCGACACGGCCCAGACUCCUACGGGAGGCAGCAGUAGGGAAUCUUCGGCAAUGGACGAAAGUCUGACCGAGCAACGCCGCGUGAGUGAAGAAGGUUUUCGGAUCGUAAAACUCUGUUGUUAGAGAAGAACAAGGAUGAGAGUAGAACGUUCAUCCCUUGACGGUAUCUAACCAGAAAGCCACGGCUAACUACGUGCCAGCAGCCGCCGUAA
rnacentral:rRNA from 1 species